AUGGGAGAACACCAUUUGAGACAAGUGGUCAAGGCAUUAAUAGCCUGCAUGGUUCACAUGAUCUGGCCCGGGGCAACCAAAGGCUUUUCCCUGACUUCAUAUGACUGCGGCAGGCGAGCGAGUGAGUCGUCCCUGAGGAAAAAGAGGCAAAGCUUUUCCGAGAUCGUGUCAGCGACGGCGCUUCGGUCGCGGUUCUGGGGGUUCUCCGUUUGCAGGAACCCUGGGUGCAGGUUCGCAGCCCUCUCAACCAGCUCCAAGCCGGCGGUGAAACCUGAAGUGCACCCUGCGGAAAAUGAAGCUGUCGCCCCAGAGUUCACCAAUCGGAACCCCCGGAACCUGGAGCUUCUAUCUGUAGCCAGGAAAGAGCGGACUGGAGGACGGUGCGGCCCUCCCGUGAGUUCUGGCACAGGUUGCGAGUUAUAAGGACUCAGCGUCAUGUAGAAGCACUUGUGGAGCAUCAAAACGGCAAGGUUGUGGUUUCGGCAUCCACUCGUGAAUGGGCUAUUAAAAAGCACCUUUAUAGUACCAGAAAUGUGGUGGCUUGUGAGAGUAUAGGACGAGUACUGGCACAGAGAUGCUUAGAGGCGGGAAUCAACUUCAUGGUUUACCAACCAACCCCAUGGGAGGCAGCCUUAGACUCGAUGAAAGGACUACAAAGUGCCAUGACAGAAGGUGGUGUGGUUCUACGGGAACCUCAGAGAAUCUAUGAAUAAAUGAAUAAAUGGAAGCAUUAAUUGUUUUGAACAUGUAAAUAUAAAACUGUCAGCCACUA